UACGAAGGUGGCAAGCGUUACUCGGAAUUACUAGGCGUAAAGGGCAGGUAGGCGGUUUGGUUAGUCUGUUGUGAAAGCUCCUUGCUUAACGGGGAGAGGCCAACAGAUACUGCCAGGCUUGAGUAUAGGAGAGGGUACUGGAAUUCCCGGUGUAGCGGUGAAAUGCGCAGAGAUCGGGAGGAACACCAAUGGCGAAAGCAGGUACCUGGACUAUUACUGACGCUCAGCUGCGAAAGCUAGGGGAGCAAACAGG
rnacentral:rRNA from 1 species